rnacentral:other from 1 species
UUUAUACUGGGUUAUUCGUUAAAAUAUUUUAUUGAACCUACAAUUUUUUAAAGGGCAUCCGAGUAUUGGUGUGGCUAGCGGGCCUGGGCUUUAUAGUUUUCACAGGAUACUAAAAGCAUCAAUUAGGUGACCCACCUAGCAAUGCUAGGUAUCAAUAAAGUUUUAACGGUAAUCUGGUUUUUUU